AACGAACGCUGGCGGCAUGCCUAACACAUGCAAGUCGAACGAACCCUUCGGGGUGAGUGGCGCACGGGUGCGUAACGCGUGGGAACCUGCCCUUAGGUUCGGAAUAACAGUUAGAAAUGACUGCUAAUGCCGGAUAAUGUCUUCGGACCAAAGAUUUAUCGCCUUUGGAUGGGCCCGCGUUGGAUUAGCUAGUUGGUGGGGUAAAGGCCUACCAAGGGGACGAUACAUAGCUGGUCGGAGAGGAUGAUCAGCCACACUGGGACUGAGACACGGCCCAGAAUCCUACGGGAGGCAGCAGUGGGGAAUAUAGGACAAUGGGCGAAAGCCUGAUCCAGCAAUGCCGCGUGAGUGAUGAAGGCCUUAGGGUUGUAAAGCUCUUUUACUAGGGAUGAUAAUGACAGUACCUAGAGAAUAAGCUCCGGCUAACUCCGUGCCAGCAGCCGCCGUAAUAC
rnacentral:rRNA from 1 species